UACGUAGGGUGCAAGCGUUGUCCGGAAUUAUUGGGCGUAAAGAGCUCGUAGGCGGUUUGUCGCGUCUGCUGUGAAAACCCAGGGCUUAACCCUGGGCCUGCAGUGGGUACGGGCAGACUAGAGUGCGGUAGGGGAGAUCGGAAUUCCUGGUGUAGCGGUGAAAUGCGCAGAUAUCAGGAGGAACACCGGUGGCGAAGGCGGAUCUCUGGGCCGUAACUGACGCUGAGGAGCGAAAGCAUGGGUAGCGAACAGG
rnacentral:rRNA from 1 species